GAUUGGAGAGAAUGGUAGAACAAUUUGUGUUAUCUUUGUUGAUGUAGGUUUGUGGCAGGAACUGCAAAGCUUGCAAGAGAAUACUGGGAGGGAAAGCAAGGGACUGCCUGAAUGGCUCCUUUCCAGGUUGCCAUCUCACGAGUACAAACCAGUGUCGUCAAAGGGAAAAGAAAAGUCUGCAGACGAAAAUAAAGAGUGUGUGAUAUGUAAAAGAGAUUUCAAAAAGGGGGUUAUGCUCAUCACUUUGCCCUGCUUACACCAAUAUCAUGACCAUUGCAUUAAGCGAUGGUUAAGAGAAGUCAAGGUUUGCUGCAUCUGCCUACGGGUGGUGGAGUUGUCUUGAUCAAGGGAGGCGCAGGGAUUACAGUUACCGGUCGAAAUAAUGUUUGUGUGGAUAGUAAUUUUUAUUUUUAUUUUUUUCAAUUUUAAAUUGAGCAUGGAGGCUAUAUAUAGUAAUUAGUACUGAUUUCUUCAAACAGAACAUGAAAUUUUUUCCAGGAAAAUAUCAUUCAUAGAAUAAAAUAUGUAAGGUUUCUUGAAUUAUUAUUAUUUUUUUGGAUGAAUAGAAUGGACACAGCGGAAGCAAAUAUUGGAUGAAUGGCGAAUCAGGAUGUUUUAUAAUUAUUUGUUCGAAUUUAAGAAAAUUCAGGCAGAUAAUUG